UACAGAGACUGCAAGCGUUAUUCGGAUUCACUGGGCGUAAAGGGUGCGCAGGCGGCCGAGUGUGUGAGGCGUGAAAGCCCGGGGCUUAACCCCGGAAUUGCACCUCAAACUACACGGCUAGAGCAUUGGAGAGGGUAGCAGAAUUCAUGGUGUAGCAGUGAAAUGCGUGGAUAUCAUGAGGAAUACCAGAGGCGAAGGCGGCUACCUGGACAAUUGCUGACGCUCAGGCACGAAAGCGUGGGGAGCAAAAGGG
rnacentral:rRNA from 1 species